GACGAACGCUGGCGGCGUGCUUAACACAUGCAAGUCGAACGGAAAGGCCCUGCUUGCGGGGUACUCUAGUGUCGAACGGGGGAGUAACACGUGGGUGAUCUGCCCUGCACUUCGGGAUAAGCCUUGGAAACUGUGUCUAAUACAGGGUAGGAGCCCUCCUUCUUGUGGUGGUUGGAAAGUUUUUUUGGUCUGGGAUGGGCUCGCUGCCUAUCUGCUUGUUGGUGGGGUAAUGGGCUACCAAGGCGGCGGAUGGUAGCCGGCCUGGGGGGGUGGACGGGCAAAUUGGGGCUGGGAAUCGGCCCAGGCUCCUUCGGGGGGGAGGCGGGGGGAAUAUUGCACAAUGGGGGCGAGCCUGAUGCAGGGAAGCCGGGUGGGGGGUGAAGGCCUUCGGGUUGUAAACUCGUUUCGGCAGGGACGAAGCUGUUUGUGACGGUAACGGGAUAAGAAGCACCGGCUAACUACGUG
rnacentral:rRNA from 1 species